rnacentral:lncRNA from 1 species
UUUCUCAAUAAUAGCAUCUACCCUGAUUUUCCUUUAGUAAUUCACCCUUACUGGGCCAUUAUGUUUUCUUUAACUUUGACAUUUGACAUAAUUUCAAACGUAUAGAAAAUUGCAAGAAUAGUACAAAGAAUUCCCAGACACCCUUCACCCAGAUUCCCCAAGUGUUGGCAUUUUAUUACAAUUUCUUUAUAAUUUUCUAUCUACCUGCUUGUUUAACCAGAUGGAUCUGUAUCUAACUAUCAUCUAUCUAUCUAUCUAUCUAUCUAUCUAUCUAUCUAUCUAUCUAUCUAUCAUCUAUUCUAUCUAUAUGUAGGGGUUUUUUCUGAAUAGUUUAAGAGUAAAUGGCAGAUGCAGUGCCCCUUUGACAUUUAAAUGGAGCAAAAAGGAACAGGAUUUUAAGCCAAAGUGAAGUGGUCUGACUUCCAUGAGCUAGCUGCUGUGUUGAGAACUGAGCAGAGUACAGCAAGCAGGGAAGCAGGGAAGCUACUGGCCUGAGCAACUGGAAGGACAAAAUUGCCACUUUCCAAGAUAAAGGAGACUAUGAAAAGAACAGGUGUGGGGAGAAAUUAAAGGUUUGACGUUGGCGCAUGUUCGUUUUAAGGUGCCUAAUUAGUCACUGUUCCAAACCCAGUUUACAAGCCUCUUCCUAUUUGCAGGGUGGGUGUUCCCUCUAACGCUGUAAGACGAUUGUCGGCACCAUCCACCCCUGAGGUUGCAGGCUCACGGGACUCCGGAUCCAGGGAGCUACUGACUCCCACUUGACCUCUGGCCUGCCGCUCCUCCUGUGUGAGGCUGAAUGGUGCCACCUGGGAGUGUGGAGGGGUUCCUGCUCCGUGGUAGAAACUGACCAGGGCGGGAGAGUCUGCAGAAACGUCGCCUUCCUCCUCCUCCGCGGGGGUGAGCCGAGCCGAAGGGGCCCGCAGCGCCGAUGCUCCGAACGCAGUGAGACGAGGCGAACAGCAUUUCCGAAGCGAGAGAGUGAGUGCGCAGGAGUGCCGGUGGGGGGCAGAAGGAGACGCAGAAUGCCAAGCAGGCUCCACGCCAAGGGCAGAGGCUGCCGCAGGACUGGAUUCAGGACCCUGAGAUUAUGAGCUGAGCUGAAAUCAAGAGCCUGUCACUUAACCAGCUGAGUCACCCAGGUGCCCCAAAACUUUUUUUUCUAAUGUGUUUUAUUGCUAUAAAUUUCCCCAUAAGUACUGCAUCCCAUAGAUUAUUUUUUCAAGUAUUUCUCUCUACUUCCUGUCUCACCUUUGAGGACUCAGAUUACAAUUACACGUAUCAGGGCACUUGAAAUUGUACCACAGCCUGUUGAUGCUCUACUCAUUUUUUCUCAGUGUUUUCUUUUCCUCUGCUUUUCAUUUUGCAGAGUUUCUAUUACUAUGUCUUAUAUACUAUAAUUUUUUUCUUCCAUUACACUUUAACUACAAUUAAUCCCAUGUGUGCAUUUUUUGUUGUUUUUGUUUUUAAAUCUUAGACAUUGUAGUUUUUGUCUCUACAAGUUUAGUUUGGUUGCUUUUUUAUAACUUUCAUGUCUCUACCAAACAUACUGUGUUUCCCCUAGCUUCUUGAUCAUAUGGAAUGUAGGUAUAAUUAUCUUAAUGUGCUUGUCUAUUAAUUCUUUGUCAUUUCUGGGCCAAUUUAGUUGAGUGGUUUUUCUUACUAUGGGCUGUAUUUUCCUGCUUCCUUGCAUGAUUUAUAAUUUCUUUUUAAAGAUUUUAUUUAUUUGACAGAGAUAGAUACAGCGAGAGAGGGAACACAAGCAGGGGGAGUGGGAGAGGGAGAAGCAGGCUUCCCGCUGAGCAGGGAGCCCGAUGCAGGGCUCGAUCCCAGGACCCUGGGAUCAUGACCUGAGCUGAAGGCAGACGCUUAACGACUGAGCCACCCAGGCGCCCCACAUGAUUUAUAAUUUUUGAUUGGAUGUCAGACAUUAUGCGUUGUGCCUUAGCGGGUGCUAGAUAUUUUUUAUAUAUUCUUGAGUUUUGUUCUGGGAUAUAUUUAAAUUUGGAUACAGUUUUAUCCUCUCAGGUCUUGCUCUUAAGUAUCUUUUAGGGAAUAUGAGUCUAGGGUUCAUUUUUCUCCACUAAGGAGACGGGACCCUUCCUAUUAUCCAAACCCAGAGUUUCUCAGCCUCAGCAAGGUUAAUAUUUAGGGCUGGGUAAUUUGUUAUGGAUUGUAGGAUGUUUAGCAGCAUCUCUGGCCUCUACCCACUAGAUGCCAGUAGAACCGCUCUUCUCUGGUGUAACAACCCAAAAAAAGGUCUCCGGAUGUUGCCAAAUGUCAGGGAGGGGGGAGGGCAGUAGUGGCGGGCAAAAUUGCACUUGAGAACCAAUGUUCUGAUGCCCUGUGAAUUGAGGUUUUCUACUCAGGUACCCUUGGUGAGCUCCAGUGAUCUCUCUCUAGUCCUUUUGUUUUGAUUUUUAAAGAUUUUAUUUAUUUGAUGGAGAGAGAGACAGCGAGAGAGGGAACACAAGCAGGGGGAAUGGGAGAGGGAGAAGCAGGCUUCCCGCGGAGCAGGGAGCCCGAUGCGGGGCUCGACCCCAAGACCCUGGGAUCAUGACCUGAGCCAAAGGCAGUCGCUUAACCAACUGAGCCACCCGGCGCCCCUCUGUAGUCCUUUUGGAUCAUUCUUUUCCCGCCGCAGGUAGUUUCCCUAUACACAGGUGCUCAUCAGCACUGGACUCAAGGGGGGCCCUUUGCAGAUCUCCAGUGUUCUCUCCUAUCUGGUACAUUGCCCUGCAAAAGCUAGCCACCGUGGCCUCGGAGGACCCCUUGCUCCAUCUUCGCAACUCAGGGAGCCUGCCAGGCUCUGCUCGAGUUCUCUUUCCUGUGCAGUGUGCUAGAAACUCUCUCCAGGUGGUAAACUUGACACUACCCAAACUUGCUUCACUUGUUUCCCAUCUCUCAGGGAUCCCAUGUCUCUGAUCCUUUGCUGUGUGUAUUUUGCAACAUUUGUUCAGGCAGGUUAGAUCUGGUUAUCUUGGCCCAAUGGAUUUUGUGUGUUCAUGACUUAAAAACAAAACAAAUUUCCAUCAUAAUCAGAAAAAUACAGGAGAGGAAUAUUGAUAAUGCAAGAUGGAGUGUUGGGAACAUGCCUUUGAGUAAGUGUGAGAGGACAGGUUAGAGCCAGUGGAGGAUUCAGGCAGAAGCACAGAUGAUCCAAAGUUAAGAGGGAAGAAGGCAGCAUACCAAGAUAUGGACACUUUACUCUUUUCUUUUUUUUCCCUGUUGUAAAUAUCAGUGUAAUAGGUAUACACGGGGAUAGGGAAAGAGAGAACAUUUAUAUAGGUGUAUAGAGAAAAUUAAAGUGUUAAUGGGAUGUUACUAGGAUUGUGAACUUAUGGGUCACUUUUUGGGUGUUUAUUUCUAAACUCUAUUAUUACCUUCAUAAAGAAAAUAUGCAAAGGAACAUUAAGAAUUUACAUAGGGAGCUGGACACUUUGUUCUAUUCUCAGCACCUGGUCAUGCUACUUCUUUGCCCAAAAAUGGGUUUCCCAUCUCAUUCAAAGUGUAAGUCAUAGUCUUAACAAUGGCUAACCAGGUCUUCCACGAUCUGGCCCCACCCUCCCCCCAUACCCCAUUUAUUCCCUGGCUUCACCCACUACUUUACCUCAUGUUUAUUCUGCUUCAGUGACUCUGCCUUCUUGCUUUCUUGAACAAAUCAGGCAUUGCUCCCACAUCAAGC